rnacentral:rRNA from 1 species
AAAGCUCGUAGUUGAAUUUCGAGAUCAGUACGCUGGUCGUGCCUUUGGUAUGCACUGGUGUCACUGGUUUCUCCCUUCUGAAGAACCGUCAUGUCAUUAAGUUGGUGUGGCGGGGAAUCAGGACUGUUACUUUGAAAAAAUUAGAGUGUUUAAAGCAGGCUCGCGCUUGAAUACAUUAGCAUGGAAUAAUGAAAUAGGACGUUUGACCCUAUUUUGUUGGUUUCUAGGAUCGACGUAAUGAUUAAUAGGGAUAGUUGGGGGCAUUAGUAUUCAAUUGUCAGAGGUGAAAUUCUUGGAUUUAUUGAAGACUAACUACUGCGAAAGCAUUUGCCAAGGAUGUUUUCAUUAAUCAAGAACGAAAGUUAGGGGAUCGAAGACGAUCAGAUACCGUCGUAGUCUUAACCAUACUAUGCCGACUAGGGAUCGGAUGAUGUUAAUUUUUUAAUGACUCAUUCGGCACCU